AUCCAAGAACUGGGGACAUCUAUGAAAGGUAUAACAUACACAUAAUAGAAAUAGUAGAAGGAGAAAGAGAGAAAGGGGCAAAAGCAAUAUUUGAAAUAAUAAUGACUGAAGAUUUUCCUGAAAUUAAUGCCAGACAGCAAAGCACAGGUCCAAGAAAGCUCAGAGAACACCAAGCAGAAAAAAUGCCCCCCAAAACACUUAUGCGUAGGAAUAUCAUAUUCAAAUUUCAGGAAAGAAAAAAUAGAAAGAGAGAGAAGAAGCCAGAGGAAAAAAAACACCCUACCUAUAAAGGAGAAAAAUAAGGACUAAAGCCAACUUCUCUGAAGCCAUGCAAGCAAAAAGAGUGAAGUGAAACAUUUAAAAUGUUAAGAGGAGAAAAACACCAACCUAGAGUUCUGUACUCUGCAAAAUUAUCCUUUAAAAUUGAAGGAGAAAUUAAGACUUUUCCAGACAAACAAAAAUUGAGGCAAUUUGUUGUCAAUAGACAUACUUUGUAAGAAAUGUUAAGUUUUUCCGAGAUAAGGAAAAUAAUAUAAGCCAAAAACUUGGAUCUAUAUAAAGAAACGAAGAGCACUGGAUAAUCAAUAAAGCACGUCAGAAUAGGAUCUAUUUUAAGGCACUGAGAAAGAAAAUACAUCAAUUUGAAAAACUGAAGCAAGAACAUCAAAUUUAUAGUGAAGCUUGGGUGAAAGAAAUGGUGAAAUUGUCGAUCCUUUAUGAAAAGCUUAUGAGAACAAUGCCCCACAUAAAUCAGCAGUUUACAAAAGGAUAACACAUUUUAAGAAGGGACAGUAAUUUGGAAGAUGAAGCCUGCAGCAGCAGACCAUCCCAAUUUUCCAGGAAAAAAAAAAUUAACCUUUUUCAUGCCAUCAUUGAAGAGGACUGAUUAUUAACAGCAGAAACAAGAGCCAGCACUACAAAUAUCUUGAUUGGUUCAGCUUAUGCAACUCUAAAAAAUUAAAUUUGAGCAAACUUUCUACUCAAUAAAUGCCAAAACUGCUGUGCCCAGGUCUGCUGCAGAAAAGAGUAGAGCUUUUAAGAAAAUUUUUAACAAGUGAUAUCAAGAUCCUAAAGCAUUUCUUCAAAGAAUCACAACAGGAGAUAAAACAUGGUUUUUCCAGUACAAUCUUGAUGACAAACACAAUCAAAGUAAGGGCUACCAAGAGGUAGAAGUGGUUCAGUCAAAGCAAAAGAGAACUGGUCAAGAGCAAAGUUCAUGGCAACAAAUUUUGAGGAUUUUCAAGACGUUUCAUUUGUUGACUCGCUGGAAGGCCAAAAAACAAUAACAUCUACUUAUUUUGAGAGUAUUUUGAGAAAGUUAGCAAAAGCUUUGGCACACAAAUGCAAAAAAAAUUUUACCAGACAUGUUUUCUCCACCACGACAAUGUUAUUGCUCAUUCCUCUCAUCAAAUGAGGACAUUUUGUGACAGUCUCAGUGGGAAUUCAUUACGCGUUCACCAUACAGUUCUGACUUGGCUCCUUCUGACUUUUUGUUCUCUAAUCUUAAAAAAUCUUUAAAUGUUUUCCCAUUUUAUUCUUCAGUUAAUAAGGUACAAAGGAUUGCAUUGAUCUGGUUAAAUUCCCAGGAUGCUCAGUUCUUUCUGGAUGAACUAAAUGGCUGGUAUCAUCAGUUAGGAAAGUGUCUUGAGCUUGAUGGAGUUUUUGUUGAGAAACAGUAUUUUUUAAUCUUUUAAUUCAAUUUUCCACGAAGUUUUUAAAGUCCCCUUGUCUGUGUGUGUUUGUAUGCUUAUGUACAAGUGAAAUGAAUAACAGCAAUGAUACAAAGAACAAGAAGGAGAAGUUAAUUUUGUAUUACAAGGUACUUGCACUGAUUGUAAAGUGGGAUGAUAGUGUUAGUUGAAAAUGAACUUGGAUUAUCUGUAAAUGUACUUUGCAAACUCUAGGUAAACCACUAAAAAUAUUAAAAAGUAUAACUAAUACACUAAGACAGUAAAUAGAAUAAUGUAAAAUGCUCAGUUAAAACUACAAAAGGCAAAAAAAGUAUAAGACAACAACAAAGAACAAGGGCAACAAACAGAAUAGAGUAUCAAGUAUGAUAUAUAUUAAUUCAAUGGUGUCAAAAUAAUUUUAAACACUAAUGGUCUGUAUAUACCAAUUGAAAAACAGAUUGUCAGUGAAUCACAACACAAACUGGCCAGGGAUGGUGGCUCAUGCCUGGAAUCCCAGCACGUUUGGAGGCCGAGGCAGGAGGAUUGCUUGUGCCCAGGAGUUCAAAUACCAGCCUGGGCAACACAGUGAGACCCUGUCUCUACAAAAAUAAAUUUAAAAUUAGCCAGGUAUGAUGGCACAUGCCUGUAGUCUCAGCUUCUUGGAAGGCUGAGGUGGGGAGGAUCGCUUGAACCCAGGAGAUUGAGGUGGUAGUGAGCCAUGAUUGUGUCACUGCACUUCAGCUGGGGCAACAGAGCAAAAUCCUGUAUUGGGGGAAAAAAACCACUCACUUUGAAUAUAAAGACACAUGUCAAUUACAAGUAAAGGGAUAAAGAAAGAUAUACCAUUAUACCAUGCUAACACUAAUCAAAAGUAAGUGAAAGUAGCUGUAUUAAUUGCAGACAGAAUAAACUUCAGGGCAAAGAAUGUUAUCAAGAAUAAAGGGAAGCAUUAUAUAGUAAUAAAGGGGUUAAUAACUCAAGAAGACAUAACAAUCCAUAACAUGUAUAUGCUUAACAACAGGGUAUCAAAAUACAGGUAGCAAAAUAGAACUGCAAAGAAAAAUGAAUAAACUUACUAUUAUAGUUGAAGACUUUAACACACCUCUAUCAGAAAUGAACAGAUCCAGCAGUAAGAAUUAGUAAGGACAUAGUUGAAUUCAACAGUGCCAUCAAUCAACUGAAUAUAAUUGACAUCCACAGACUACUUCAUCCAAAAACAGUAAAAUACACAUUCUUCUUAAGUUUACAUGAAACAUUCAUCAAGAUACAUCACACUGUGGACCAUAAAACACACCUAAACAAAUUUAGUAGAAAUUAUACAAUGUCUACUUUUCAGACCACAAUGGAAUUAAACUAAAAAUCAAUAACAGAUAGCUGGAAAAGCUCAAAAUAUUUGGAGAUUAAACAACACACUUCUAAAUAAUAUGGGUCAAUAAUAAAAUAUCAAGAAAAAUGUAAAAAUAUAAACUAAAUGAAAAUAGAAAUUAAAUUUAUCAAAAUUUGAGGGAUUCAGGAAAGCAAUGCUUAGAGGAAAAUUUAUAAGACAUAUUUUAGAAAAAAAGAAAGAUCCAAAAUUUAUCCUGUAAGUUUCCACCUCAGGAAAUUACAAAAUAAACUCAAAGUAAGCAGAAGAAAUAAAAUAAAAAUUAGAGCAGAAAUUAUUGAAAUUGAAAACAGAAAAUCAACAACGAAAAUUAAAAAAACAACAAGAGCUAAUUCUUUGAAAAGAUCAGCAAAAUCAUUAAGUCUCUAGUCAAUCCAAGGGAAAAAAAAGAAAACACAAACUGCUAGUAUCAUAAAUGAAAGACUGGAUUAUAGAUCCACUUGAUAUUGAAAGAAUACUAAAGAGAAACAAUAAAUAACAUGCCUACAAAUUUGAUUACCUAAAUGAAGUGGACCAAUUUUUUGAGAGACAUAAUCUGCCAAAAGUCACUCAAAAAGAAAUAGAUAAUAUGAAUAGGCCUAUAUCUAUUACGGAAAUUGAAGAAAUAACUUUCCAAAACAGAAAGCACCAGUUCCAGAUUCAUUCACUGAUAAAAUUUCCCAAUUAUUUAAAAGAAGAGAUUAUACAAAUUCUCUACAACUUCUUCCAAAAGACAGAAGAGAGGAAAUACUCCCUAACUCAUUCUUUGAAGCCAGCAUUACCCUAAUAUCUGAAACAUACAAAGACAUUACCAAAAAACAGAUCAAUCUCUCUCAUGAACAUAGAUGCAAAAAUUCUCAACAAAAUAUUAGCAGAUCAAAUGCAACCAUAUAUAAAAAAAUUAUACAUCACAACCAACUGGGAUUUAUCCCAGGCAUAAAAGGUUUAAUAUUCAAAAAUCAGUUAAUAUUAUCCAUCACAUCAACAGGCUAAAACAUUAUAUAAUAUCAAUAGGCAUAGAAAAAGCAUUUAAUAAAAUCUAACAUUUUUAUGAUAAAAACUCUCAGUAAACUAGGAAUAGAGGAGAAUUUCCCCAACUUGAUAAGGUAUCUCUAAAAAAAAAAAAAAAAAAAAAAAAACACCCUAGAGCUAAUAUCAACAUCAUACUUUAUAUUGAGAAAUGAAAUGUUUCCCUUUUCACCGUCACUUUUCAAUAUUGUACUGGAAUUCUUAGCCAAUGCAGUAAGACAGAAAAGCGUAAUAAAAGGUAUACAGAUUGAGAAGAAAGAAAUAAAACUGUUUUUCCUUAUAGAAGACAUGAUUGUCUAUGUAGAAAAUCUGAAAAAGUCUAGAAUGAAACUACUGGAACUAAUGGGAAUUACAGCAAACUUUUAGGACAGAAGGUGGGUAUAUAAAAAGCCAACCACGUUCUUACAUGCCAGCAAUGAACACGUGGAAUUUUUAAUUAAAAACACUUUACAAUCUAUAUUAUCACCUUCCUCAAAAUGAAAUACUUCAGUAUGAAACAAAAUAUGCAGAUCUGUAUGAGAAAAACUUUAAAACUCUGAUACAAUAUUUCAAAUAAAAACUAAAUUAAAUUUCAAAUAAAAACUAAAUUAGGCCAGGCACGGUGGCUCACACCUGUAAUCCCAGCACUUUGGGAGGCUGAGGUGGGUGGAUCACUUGAGAUCAGGAGUUCAAGACUAGCCUGGCAAACAUUGUGAAACCCUGUCUCUACUAAAACUACAAAAUAUUAGCCAGGCAUGGUGGCAGGCACCUGUAAUCCCAGCUACUCAGGAGGCUGAACCCAGGAAGUGGAGGUUGUAGUGAGCCGAGAUCACACCACUGCACUCCAGCCUGGGCCACAGAGCAAGAGUCCGUCUCAAAAAAAAAAAAAAAAAACAAAACAAUAACAAAAAACAAAAAAACCACCUAAAUAAAUGGAGAGAGAGAGAGUUCAUGUUCCUGAAUACAAAGAAUCAUUAUUGUCAAGAUGGCAGUUCUUCUCAAGUUGAUUUAUAAAUUCAACACAAUCCCAAAACACCACCAAGUUAUUUAUUGGAUAUGAACAAACUUAUUCUAUAGGUUUUUAUGGAAAGAGCCAGAAUAGCCAGAAUGAGAUCAAAGGACUGACAUCACCCCAUGAAAGAACAGACAAAUAAGUUAAUGGAACAGAACAGAAAGCCCACACAUAAUUCCAUACCAAUACAGUCAACUGAUGUUUUACAAAGGAACAAAGAUAAUACCAUGGAGCAAAGCUAAUCUUUUUGAUAAACAGUUCUGGAAAAAUAACACACACAUGCAAAAAAUUCAAUCUAUACACAGACCUUACACCUUCACAAAAGUUUACUCAAAGGGAGUCAUAAACCUAACUAUAAUACACAAAAGCAUACAAUUCUUAAAAGAUAACAUGAGAUAAAACCUAAAUGACCUUGGGUAUGGUGACAACAUAUACCACCAAAAAAGCACAAUCUAGGAAAGAAAUAAUUGAUAAGCUGAACUUUAUUAAAGACUUUGCUCUGUGAAAGACAACAUCAAAAGAAUAAGAGAAGCCACAGACUAGAAGAAAAUAUUUACAAAAGACACAUCUGUUAAAGGACAGACGUAUAAUUCUUAAAACUCAACAAAAAAGAAAAAAAAUGGACCAAAGACCUGAACAGAUGCCUGCACUUUGACACAUGAGUUUUGUCAAAACUCUAAGAAUGUAUACUACCAAGAGUGAACCCCCAUGUAAACUAUGGACUUUGGGUGAUAAAAAUGUGCCAAUGUGUUCAGCGUUUGUAAUACAUGUACCACUCUGGUGUGGAAUGUUGAUAGUGGGAGAGGUUGUCCAUACAUGGGGACAGGUAGCAUAUGGGAACUUUCUGUAUUUUUCACUCAAUUUAGCUGUGGACCUAAAGUUGCAAUAAAAAUAAUGUUAUUAAUAAGAGUAGGAUA
rnacentral:lncRNA from 10 species